GCUAACUGUUAUAUGGCUCGCUACAUCGACGAAACUACCGACGGACGCCGCUCGCCACCCAUCGCUCGGCCGCGGCUCCCGCACUCGACGUCGGCCGGCUUGAUCUCGACCGCUGGCGAAAUGCAUCGGAGUCAGGUUCGGAGAGGCAGGAAGAAGGAAGUAAGUGUCAGCCAAAAGAAACAUCGUCUGUCUUUCUUACAUUCCAAACACACAGCUUGGGGUAAUUGAUGGCAUAGGCAGCCAUGCACCUGGUUCUCAGGUGGGUAAACAGGUUUGAUCUCCUGGAUGAUGCAGCCCCGGAGUCGAAGCGACUAGAAUUGCACCGAAGGCAGGAUUGCCGCCACCAGCAGAAACAGAAGUGGAAUAGCCAGAUUCGAUGAUUUAUCUGCCCUCUUGGCAGGGACUUGUCACCGGGCGACUCCCACGGAAAAGAUGCCACGGUCGAGGUUGAUCGAAGACACUGAAGUGCUUACAUGCGUGCGUGCGUGCGUGCGUGCGUUCUACCUUUUUCUUCACAGGGUGAACAGUCGGUGUGACAAGUGUCCUCGAAGUUUGUCGCCCCUUUUCCUACAAUCCACGAGAGGAGGAGACAGUACGAGUCAGCAUCCAUCAGACGCACCAGGAAAGGAAAGGAGUGAAUCGUCUGCCAUGUCCAGGGAAGCUCACAUGGAUGCAUCACCCACCUCCCAUCCAAGCCCGGGUAAUGAAGUUGCAAUAUUCCUUUCUUAUAUUCUUUGCACAAGUCUCUCAAUUCCAAUUUGCUCUCUCUCUUCUUCUUCUAGAUUUUCCUCAACUUUCCUGCAGAGGCUUACUGAUGAGAGGCUAUCAGAUGUCGAAUAUGGAUUUCGUAUCAUUGUUUCUGUUCCUAAGAACAGUAUCCAUAUCAGAUCUUGCGCCGACAGAAUUAUCACAGAUUUUGAAUGUUCAAAGUAUACCGACAAGGACAGAUUUCAGAGAGUCCACGCUUCCAAACAAGAAACAUUAGGACCACAGAUAUGCAUUGUCAAGGUCCAAGAUGUGGCAAUGUUUGGGCUCAUUCUCUCUGAGAUAAGAUGAAGAGUUCCAUCCACCGGUACAGCUUCUAGAGGGGAACGAAGCAAUACCAUCAGCCGAACAAGUCUGCAUGUCUCGAGUCAUCGAGGCAACCCACAAUACGGCAAGCUGAUGAGUGAUCCAUUAAAGAAAGCUUGGGAUGAAUGGAAUCCUACACAAAAGGACUGUUCUGUUAUCGAAGCAGGUUUAAUGAUUCUCCCGUCCAACCACUCGACCUAAAAGCUGCUUCUAAAAAUGAUGUCCCCCGAGAAAUGUCAACUUUAGGCCACUUCAUCUCAACUCAUAAAGAAUGCCCAUUUUGCGUGAACACUGCAACCGUAUCUUUUGCUGCAUGUUACAAGUUCGUUUUAUAUAUACAAGGAAAGCUUGUUUAACAUAGGGAUUGAUUGUUGAGGGGCU